GGGGCCAUAGCUCAGUUGGCAGAGCGCCUGCUUUGCAAGCAGGAGGUCGUCGGUUCGAUCCCGACUGGCUCCA
rnacentral:tRNA from 1 species